GAUGAAGAACGUAGCGAAAUGUGAUACUUGGUGUGAAUUGCAGAAUCCCGUGAACCAUCGAGUCUUUGAACGCAAGUUGCGCCCGAAGCCAUUAGGCCGAGGGCACGCCUGCCUGGGCGUCACACGUCGUUGCCCCCCCAUCUACUCCUUCGGGAUUGCGGGGGGCGGAUGAUGGCCUCCCGUGCGCCUCGCCGCGCGGUUGGCAUAAAUGCCAAGUCCUCGGCGACGCACGCCACGACAAUCGGUGGUUGCGAAACCUCGGUUGCCCGUCGUGUGCGGUCGUCGCGCAUCGAGGGCUCGAAAAAAUUGCCGGGUUCCGGCUCGGCUUUCAACGCGACCCCAGGUCAGGCGGGGUUACCCGCUGAAUUUAAGCAUAUCAAGCGGAGGA
rnacentral:misc_RNA from 1 species